ACUCUGCCUCCCUCUUUUUUUUUUUUUUUAAAAAAAUAUGAUUUAUUUGGGAAGCACAGUGACAGAGAGAGGUCUCCCAUCUGCUGGUUCACUCCCCAGAUGGCCCCAACGGCCAGAGCUGGACCAGGCUGAAGCCAGGAGCUCCUUCCGGGUCUCCCACGCAGGUGCAGGUCCUUGUCGGCUGCUCCUGGCUCACCCUAGCCGUCGGGGAGUGGACCAGCAGGUGGAAGACCCGUCUGUCUGUCUGUCUGUCUGUCUCUCUCUCUCUCUCUCUCUCUGUCUCCCCCCCAUGUCUCCCUUUCUCCUCCUUCCUGUGUCUUCCUCUCUCUCCCUGUUAACUCUUUCAGAUAAAUAAUUCAUGUUUUAAAAAGCAGCGUGGACCCUCGCGUGCGCCCCUUCCUGGAGCUGUGUCGAGGACCAAGGCGGUGGGCGCGUCUGCCCUCGGGGUUCCUCGCCAGGGACAAAGUCCAGCUCUCCUGUGAACUCGCCAUGUUGGGUUUGACAGCUUCCCUGAUGAGUCUGUCGUGCUAGAAACACACGUGCCGACUUUUGCAUGUUGUGUGAUGGAAUACGAGCCCCGUGGAAGGUCUGCAGGACUUGGUGCACCGGUGUUUUCCAAACAGCCAGGCAGGAGGUGACCAAAUCAAACGUCGCUGGAUACCAGAUGGACCACCGGGCCAGCGUCAUGGAAAGUAAUGCCAGUGUUAUAGGAACAGAUCACCAUGUUUAGACUGAGCAUUUCUCUUCAAGUUGCACAGGUUGACAAAGCUGUUGACAGAGAGCUGCUUUUGAUGAACAAACCCACACCUUCCAUUGUUUGAAACAGAUGACACGGUUACGAUUUCGCAGACCUGAAGCUAGAGAAGAAAUCUGAGGAGCAGGCUAGAGGAAUCAUAGGAGGCAGAAUGACAGAGAGAAAGAGAGACACAGACAGCGGAGAUCUUCCGUCUGCUGGUUCACUACCCAAAUACCUGCCACACUCAUGGCUGAGUCAAGCCAAAGCCAAGAGCCGGAAAUGCAGUCCAGGUCUCCCACAUGGGUAAGAGGGACCCAAGUACUUGGACCAUCAUCUGCUGCUCCCCAGGGUAUGCAUGAGCAAGAAGCUGGAUUGGAAGCAGAAUGGAGACAGACCCAGGGCUCCAGUGUGUGACGUAGGCAUCAUGAGCACAUCUUUACUGCAUCAAAUGCCCAUCCUUAAAUUGAUCUUCUUAUUGGCAAAGGACCUGGUAUGAAGUUGGCUAGCAUGAGCCAGCUUUCCUCAGGACAAUGUCAUCCAGAGACUGAGGCCCUAGGUGCCCCAGUCUUGGCGGGGUUCCCAGCCAUGGCCUCCUUCCCACUCUCCCAUGUAUUCCAUGCCCUGGCCUGCCCACGGUGUGCCUCCUGCAGGUCCUACAGUGCUGAGCUCAUCCAUGACACAGAGCCUCACUAUAGACUUGAAACAGGUUUUUUACUGCUUCUUCUCCAAGCUACCUCCUCCUCACCUGUCAAGAUCCAAUUCAAGGCUGGCGCCGCGGCUCACUAGGCUAAUCCUCCACACUGCGGCGCUGGCACACUGGGUUCUAGUCCCGGUCGGGGCGCCGGAUUCUGUCCCGGUUGCCCCUCUUCCAAGCCAGCUCUCUGCUGUGGCCCGGGAGUGCAGUGGAGGAUGACCCAAGUGCUUGGGCCCUGCACCCCAUGGGAGACCAAGAGAAGCACCUGGCUCCUGCCAUCAGAUCAGCGCAGUACGCCGGCUGCAGCGCACCGGCCGCGGCGGCCAUUGGAGGGUAAACCAAUGGCGAAGAGAAACCUUUCUCUCUGUCUCUCUCUCUCUCUCUCUCUCUCUCUCACUGUCCACUCUGCCUGUCAAAUAAAUAAAUAAAUAAAAAGAUCCAAUUCAAAAUCUCCUUGUCCAGGGAAGCCAGUCUGUCCCCUUAGCCUUGACUGCGUUCCUGUUUCAGUCCUUGCAACUUUUUGUACUUUCCCUCUACAGUCCCUACCACAAAUGCAGUGAAGUAAUCAUCUGUUUUAUUCUUAAAAAAAAAGAUUUAUUUGUUUAUUUGAAAGGCAGAGUUACAGAGAGAGGUAGAGACAGAGAGGUCUUACAUCUGCUGGUUCGCUCCCCAGAUGGCCGCAACAGCCACAGCUGGGCCAGCCCAAAGCCUGGAGCCAGGAGCUUCCUCUGGAUCUCCCCCAUGAGUAUAGGGACCCAAGGCCUUGGGCCAUCUUCUACUGCUUUUUCAGGCCAUAGCAGAGAGCUGGAUCGGAAGAGGAGCAGCCAGGUCUUGAGCCGGCACCCGUGAGGGAUGCCGGCACUGCAGGCUGCGGCUUUACUUGCUAUACCCUGUGUGAUUCUUUAAUAUCUGUCUCCCUCACUUGACUGUAAGUUCUGGCUAUCAGGGAUCACAAGCGUGCUUCAAAAUGUGUGUGGAAAAGUGAGAUGAAAAGAUUCAUUUAUUUUGGGGCCAGUGCUGUGGCAUAGCGAGUUAAGGCUAUGUUAUGGGCGCCAGUUCAAGCUGCCCCACUUCUGAUCCAGCUCUCUGCUAUGGCCUGGGAAAGCAGUAGAAGAUGGCCCAAGUCCUUGGGCCCCUGCACCCACGUGGGAGACCUGGAAGAGGCUCCUGACUCCUGGCUUCGGAUCGGCACAGCGCUGGCCGUUGUGGCCAAUUGGGGAGUGAACCAGCAGAUGAAAGACCUCUCUUUCCACCUUUGCCGCUAUAACUCUGCCUUUCAAAUAUACAAAUAAAUCUUUAAACAACAACAACAAAAUUUCAUUGACUUUGGUGUGUAAAACUUUGAAAUCUGACAUUGAGGUGUAGCAGAUUAAGCUCAAGCUUGUGAUGCUGGCAUCCAUCUCAGAGUGCCAGCUACAGUCCUGGCUAAUCCACUUUACCCAGCUGCCUGCUAAUGUUGCCCUCAGAGGACUGCUGCCACCCAUGUAGGAGACCCAGAGGCAGUUCCUGAGAGGCAGAGGCAGAGGCACAGAUAGUGAGCUCUUCCAUCUGCUGCUUCACUCCCCAGAUGGCUGCAACGGCUGGAGCUGGGCCGAUCCGAACCAGAAGCCAGUUUUCUGGGUCUCCCACUUGUGUGCAGGGACCCAAGGACUUGGGCCAUCUUCUGCUGCUUUCCCAGCUGCAUUAGCAGGGAGCUGGACCAGAAGUGGAGCAGCCAGGACUUGAACUGGUGCCCAUAUAGGAUGCUGGCACUGCAGGCGGUGGCUUUACCUACUAUGCCACAGCGCCAGCACCCCACUCACUCUUCUUGGUGUGUUUGAUUGGCAAUCCAAAUGCAUGUGAUUGGUUGAUUGAUUCCGUUAUAGAAACUGAGUUAUACAGAAAUGUACCACAAGAGUCACUGUAGAAGAUACGGCAGCGAGCGUAUCAGUCAGGGCUUUUCCACCACCAGAGGCAGAAGUGCAGUGGCUGGGACACAAACUGGCGUCCAGAUGGGAUGCCAGCUUUGUAGACGGCCACUUUACCUGUUACACCGCAGUCUCAGCCCCAGUUACUAGUUUCACUGUUGACUUCUACUCAAAAUCAAACCCACUCCUUGUUGACACAGAAACAGUCCUUAUGAGAAGAUGUAACCUGAAAACCAAAAACAAAAUAGCUGCUUGUCAGGCAGAGGGAGAAGAAUGGCACAUUUUUUGUGUGUUUAAAUUCACGUCCAGUCCAUUGAACUUGAACUUUUAUAAUAAUAUUAAGCCCAGACUGUGUUUUUAAUUAUUUUACAUUUACAGAAUGUCUACUUUAUUCUUUUCUAUAUAUUUCCUUU